CUUUACUGUAGCUUGGUAUUGGGUUCGGGCUCCGCUUGCGCAGGAUAGGUGGGAGACGGUGAUCCAUGGCUUGCGGGCUAUGGGGAGUCAACAGUGAGAUACCACUCUGGCGGGGCUAGAAUUCAACCUUGACCCAUGAACUGGGCAGGGGACAGUAUCAGGUGGGCAGUUUGACUGGGGCGGUCGCCUCCUAAAUGGUAACGGAGGCGCACAAAGGUUCCCUCAGACUGGUCGGAAAUCAGUCGGAGAGUGUAAAGGCAUAAGGGAGCUUGACUGCAAGACUUACAAGUCGAGCAGGGUGGAAACACGGUCUUAGUGAUCCGACGGUUCUGUGUGGAAGGGCCGUCGCUCAACGGAUAAAAGUUA
rnacentral:rRNA from 1 species